AUGCAAAGUUCUAUGUGUUAUGACAUCGACACUCCACCAAUGAACAAUCAGGUUUCUAUGUAUUAUGAGGUGAACACUCCACCAAUAAGCAAUCAGGUUGAAGAAGAUGGGAGAGCCACCAGAUUCCGGGUUCCUGGUGGGAAUGAGGGCUGGGGCUGUAGAGCAAGCGACUCUUGCCCAGUGAGGAGCAGUGCCAAGUACUGUGGUCCUGGAAGACACUACGUCACUGCAUCUCUGGGCAUCUUUGCUGGAGACGAAGUGGAGAUGCACCUGCUUUGGGGAGGUGGCUGGCGAGAAAGAGAGCGAAUGCGGGCCCCGCCCCGUGAGGCAAAGCUCACUUCCUGAUGGAGGAUGGGGCUGUGUGGCCUGAUUCUCUGUGGAGCUCCUGAGUCGAUGCCUCCCACCCAAAAAAUCACAGGUUAAAAGGUAAGAAAGAGGAUAACGGAAGUAGCCCAUGUGUAUCUAUUAAAAUAAUUAGCGCUGUUGCCCAAACUCAGCAUUUGCCCACGGGUGCCAAAUAGAAACAAGGAGACAAGAGUCUUGGGUGUAGAAGGAAAAAGAUAUCUUUUAUUGCUUUGCCGGGUAAAGGAGGCCACAGCAGGCUC
rnacentral:lncRNA from 1 species